UAUAUUUCUAAUCCUUUUAUUCCUAGGUUAAUUUACUGAAACACACAGCGUCCUCUCCUCCCUUCUGACUCUGGGGUCAAGCUGCCCCAGCGAGGAGAGAGAUUGGGUGUCAGACUGCACAUAUACAUUUUGGCAAGAUAAAGCUCCUACCUUUUGUUGUGGCCACUGUGCAGUGUCACUCCAGCAUUCCAGUCAUUCUUCCUAGUGUGCUCGCAGCGCCAUUAUGUAGAAGAGUAAAUGCUCUUGAACAAUCAGACAGAGACUAUGGCUUGUGAAUUGAGGAUCUGGUUAUUUCUCUUGGAGCAGUUCUUUUAUAACAUCUCAAUCAUCCCGUCAUGGGCAAUCAUCACAACGGGCAAUUACAACAUGUGUGCUAUAUAAAAGACCAUGUUACGGACAGUUGGAAAACAAGGGAGGUGGACCCAAGUGCAGAAACCAAAAAUAUUUAAUUAAACAAAAAGGCCAAAGGUAACAAAACUCAAUUCCAAAAGUUCAACAAAAAACACAGGGAUCAAAAACAGGGAGCCACAGAGGAGCACAAGCAAAACUGACAUUCCAACAACAUACAAUGAACUGACACAGAAAGGAAGAAACACAGAGACUAAAUAGACAAGGGAGUAAUCAAACACAGGUGAGACUAAUAACACAGGUGAAGACAAUGAGGGCAAUCACAAUGGAGGGAAACACACAGAGGAAGGAAUGGACACAACACUGAGGACAACUACAAAAUAAACAGCCUGGAGGCAGGGCACAUUACCCAGAAAGUUCAGGUGGACGGCCUGGAGGCAGGGCACAUAGCCCGGAAAGUUCAGGCAGACGGCCAGGAGGCCGACCAAACACAGGGAGCAGUUCGGGUGGGUGGCCGGAAGGCCGACCAGAUGAACCCACGGGACCAGUGAGAGGCCAGGCCUCCCACGGAAACACAGGGGUGGGCAGAGUCAGCAGGGCCUCUGACGAGGGCGCAGGAGUCAGCAGGGCCUCUGACGAGGGCGCAGGAGUCAGCAGGGCCUCUGACGAGGGCGCAGGAGUCAGCAGGGCCUCUGACGAGGGAGCAGGAGUCAGGUGAAGACAAUGAAGGUAAUCACACUGGAGGGAAACACACAGAGGAAGGAAUGGACAACUACAAAAUAAAAUACAUGAAACACUGAAGACACACAGAACUCAAGAAUGAAACAAAACACACUAGAACAUAAAGAAACACUAGGAUAUGAAGUUACAAAAAUAACACAUGAAACACUAACCUAGAAAACACACAAGGGAAACAACACCAUCAGACAAGAAUGAGAACUAAAAACAACAAGAAAAC